AGAGUUUGAUCCUGGCUCAGAACGAACGCUGGCGGUAUGCUUUACACAUGCAAGUCGAACGAAAGGACCCCCUUCGGGGGGCGAUUUAGUGGCGCACGGGUGAGUAACGCGUAGAUAACCUACCCUUCAGUUGGGGACAACCUUCCGAAAGGAGGGCUAAUACCGAAUGACACCGCGGGUCGAGUGGCCUGCGGUUGAAAGAUUUAUCGCUGGGGGAUGGGUCUGCGUACCAUUAGCUUGUUGGUGGGGUAACGGCUCACCAAGGCGACGAUGGUUAGCGGGUCUGAGAGGAUGAUCCGCCACACUGGAACUGAGACACGGUCCAGACUUCUACGGGAGGCAGCAGUGAGGAAUUUUGCACAAUGGGCGCAAGCCUGAUGCAGCAAUACCGCGUGAGUGAAGAAGGCCUUUGGGUCGUAAAGCUCUUUUCUGGGGGAAGAUAGUGACGGUACCCCAGGAAUAAGCACCGGCUAACUCCGUGCCAGCAGCCGCGGUAAUACGGAGGGUGCGAGCGUUGUUCGGAUUUACUGGGCGUAAAGGGCGCGUAGGCGGUUCGGCAAGUUAAGGGUGAAAUCCCGGGGCUCAACUCCGGAACUGCUCUUGAAACUGCCGGACUAGAGAUGGUCAGAGGCGGGUGGAAUUCCUAGUGUAGAGGUGAAAUUCGUAGAUAUUAGGAGGAACACCGGCGGCGAAGGCGGCCCGCUGGGGCCAUUCUGACGCUAAGGCGCGAAAGCGUGGGGAGCAAACGGGAUUAGAUACCCCGGUAGUCCACGCCGUAAACGAUGAAUACCGGCUGUUUGGGAAAUCGACCUCCCAAGUGGCGCAGCUAACGCGUUGAGUAUUCCGCCUGGGGAGUACGGUCGCAAGACUAAAACUCAAAGGAAUUGACGGGGGCCCGCACAAGCGGUGGAGCAUGUGGUUUAAUUCGACGCAACGCGAAGAACCUUACCUGGGUUUGACAUCCCCGGACCGUCCCGGAGACGGGAUUUUCCCUUCGGGGACCGGGUGACAGGUGCUGCAUGGCUGUCGUCAGCUCGUGUCGUGAGAUGUUGGGUUAAGUCCCGCAACGAGCGCAACCCUUGUCCUUAGUUGCCAGCGCGUAAUGGCGGGAACUCUAAGGAGACUGCCGGUGUCAAGCCGGAGGAAGGUGGGGAUGACGUCAAGUCCUCAUGGCCUUUAUAUCCAGGGCUACACACGUGCUACAAUGGCGACUACAAAGAGCUGCGAGACCGCGAGGUGGAGCGAAUCUCAAAAAAGUCGUCUCAGUUCGGAUUGCAGUCUGCAACUCGGCUGCAUGAAGUUGGAAUCGCUAGUAAUCGUAGAUCAGCGUGCUACGGUGAAUACGUUCCCGGGCCUUGUACACACCGCCCGUCACACCAUGGGAGUUGACAUUGGCAGAAUACGUUGAGCGAACCCUUCGGGGCAGUAGGCGUGCAAGCUAGUGUUGAUGACUGGGGUGAAGUCGAAACAAGGUA
rnacentral:rRNA from 1 species